UACAGAGGGGGCAAGCGUUGUUCGGAAUUACUGGGCGUAAAGGGCGCGUCGGCGGCCUUCUAAGUCGAACGUGAAAUCCCCGGGCUCAACCCGGGAACUGCGUCCGAUACUGGAAGGCUUGAAUCCGGGAGAGGGAUGCGGAAUUCCAGGUGUAGCGGUGAAAUGCGUAGAUAUCGGGAGGAACACCGGUGGCGAAGGCGGCGACCUGGGUAGAUACUGACGCUGAGGUGCGAAAGCGUGGGGAGCAAACAGG
rnacentral:rRNA from 1 species